AACGAACGCUGGCGGCAGGCUUAACACAUGCAAGUCGAGCGCCCCGCAAGGGGAGCGGCAGACGGGUGAGUAACGCGUGGGAACGUACCCCCCGGUUCGGAAUAACUCAGGGAAACUUGAGCUAAUACCGAAUACGGCUGGAAGGCGAAAGAUUCAUCGCCGGGGGAUCGGCCCGCGUCCGAUUAGCUAGUUGGUGUGGUAACGGCGCACCAAGGCGACGAUCGGUAGCUGGUCUGAGAGGAUGAUCAGCCACAUUGGGACUGAGACACG
rnacentral:rRNA from 1 species